CCCUAGCCCAGAUUGCAAUGAAAAUCCUUUUUUUUUUAGCCGCGGCAAAAAAAAGAUUGCAAUGUAAAGCGGGAAUUAGC
rnacentral:sRNA from 1 species